AUUUAUAAAAGACACCUUACACCAAAUUUUUGCCACAACAUAGAAUUAGCCGCAACAGAAUCGGUAAAGUAAGAUAAAUUAAACCAAAGCAUGAGAGAGAGAAAUUAGGAGUACUGGAAUGGAGAAAAGUUCAGUGAAU
rnacentral:misc_RNA from 1 species